rnacentral:rRNA from 1 species
UACGAAGGGAGCUAGCGUUGUUCGGAAUUACUGGGCGUAAAGGGCGCGUAGGCGGCCUGAUAAGUAGGGGGUGAAAUCCUGCGGCUUAACCGCAGGGCUGCCUUCUAAACUGUCAGGCUAGAGCACAGUAGAGGCAGGUGGAAUUCCCGGUGUAGCGGUGGAAUGCGUAGAGAUCGGGAAGAACAUCAGUGGCGAAGGCGGCCUGCUGGGCUGUUGCUGACGCUGAGGCGCGACAGCGUGGGGAGCAAACAGG